GGGGCCUCUCGGGUGGCAUGAGAACAUGUGGGGCUUCUUACCUGAAGGAUGUCGGCAAUUAGAGCCCAUUUUGACUGCCGGGGUAUGAGCCGACUGCCUCAGAGAACAUCAAUUAAGGAUUUAAGUGGCUCUUGUCUUCGGGGAUCAUCUUUCCUGAAUCGCGGCCACGUUCUGGGCCUGGUAAUUAUCAGCAGGCUGAUUAGGCCUCGUCCAUUAUAGAGAGUGACUUCCUAAUCGCCAGCUGCUGGGGAGGAAAAUGUCUCAGCUCCGACGCAGGUACACCCCAUCCGACAUGCCAGAGGCUGGCACGCACACACUGCAAGGCUGCUUUGGGCUGUGGCCAAAGAGAUGGCACAAGGCACACACUGGGCUUAGCUGGGUUUCCCUUGAAGAAGCUCAAGGUCUCAGGGCAGCCCUGGAGAUCAUGGAACCCAGGCCAUUCCUGGCAUGCCCACACUAAGCACAUCAUAUGCACUGUCUCAUUUUAUUCUCACAUACAGCUUUGCAAUGUAGGUACUACAGCUAUCCCACUUGACAGAUGAGGAAACUGAGGCUCAGAGACAUUAAGUGGGUCAGGCAAAAACUCAAGAUUCCAGUCAUUUUGACUCCAUGUGCUUAACUUUUAAGACAUGCUACAACUGUGUCGACAGUUUCCUAAUGAGUUACAGCCAAGGGAGCAGUUUCUAGAGGUACAGUCAGUAAGACUAGGCUGUUUCUCUUUGUGUGGCUCAUGAAGUCUCCUGGUGGGUUCAAGGUCUUCUAUAUAAAGGACUCUGUGUGUGGGGAGGGUCAGAUACUGGGGUUAAUAUCAGUGUUAAUAACUCUCAAGCUCACUUUGAAAAACAGUCUGGAUGCUUCUCUCUUCUCCGGAGCAAGCAGUUGUGCAUCUCUGAAGAAGUGAAUGUUGAUGGGUCUAAAACAAUCACAGAAAUUCAAUUUUUUUUUCUGGUAUUCUGUUUAGGGGUGUUUGUGUCAUUCAGUGAUAUAUGAUGGGAUGUCAAUGGGGGCUUUGGGAAUAGGUUUCCUUGCUGAUAAAACAGAGGCACCAUGGCCAAAAAAAAAUAAGUCCCCUUCUUCUGCUUAUGUCAUCAUGGUUUUAAGUGAUGACUGGCACUUUGGCAGCUAUUUUGUGACCAUGAGGGCACAAGCCUGAGAUGGAAGUCAACUGACAGGGAAUGGCAGAGCAGAAAGAUGGAUACAUAUGAGUUCUUGACAAUGUCACUGAGUCAUACCACAAAGACUUCACCAACUCUGAGGCCGCCCCACUGUCUGGACAUGCUGUUACACAGGAUAAUAAAAUCGGCUAAUUGUUUAUACAACUGCUGGUUGGGGUUUCUGUUACUUGUGGCCAGAACAGCCUGAUUGGCCGGGCACGGUGGCUUACACCUGUAAUCCCAGCACUUUGGGAGGCUGAGGUGGGCAGAUCACCUGAGGUCAGGAGUUCGAGACCAAGCUGGCCAACAUGGUGAAAGCCCGUCUCUACUAAAAAUACAAAAAUUAGCCAGGUGUGGUGGCACACGUCUGUAGUCCCAGCUACUCAGGUGGCUGAGGCAGGAGAAUUGAUUGACCCUGGGACGUGGAGGCUGCACUCCAGCCUGGGUGACAGAGCAAGACUCCGUCUCAAAAAAAGAAAAAAAAAAAAAAUCAGCCUGAUUGCUACAGAAUCUGACAUUUUCAGCCUCGUCAUUUGCUACUUUCCAGUUCUCAUGCUCCCCACCAUCUACUGUCACUCUCCUUAGCUUCUCACUGUCCCCAAACAUAUCAUGCCCUCUCCUGCUCCCACAUCUUUGCCCCCACCAUUCUGCCUGCCAGGAAUGCCCUUGCCCACCUAUCCCUUAAUAGCCAGCGACUCAAUGACAUUACUGUAUCUGGGAAGUCCUUCCUGACACCCGUGGCUGGGAUGGAUGACCCUCCUCUGUGGUUCCAGCUCCUCCUUCACAGCACUGACCACCAAGGGACCUGUCUGUCCCCCACUGACCUGUGAGAUCUUUCAGGAGGAAAAGAGGGAAUUAUGUCCCUGGCACUCAGGAAGGAUGCUGCUCACGGCUUUCAUGGGUUUAUCAUGUCCUGAAACAGUCUCCAAAGUUAUGCCUGUCUAUAUGAAUAUGUGUGGCAGAGUGAGUUUGUUAAAAGUACAGGCUUUGGAGUUAAACAGACCUAGGUGUGAGUUCAACUAGCUAAGUCUGACUACUACACUAACGAGCUACAGCACCUCUAGGUGCUAACAACCUUUCUGUGUCUCAAUCCACCUACCUGCAAAGUAGAGAUGGUAAACCUGACUUACCAGGGCGUGAUGAAGAUUAGAUAAGAUAUGUUAACUACUUAACUUUGUGCCUGGCACGUAGCAAAUUAUUCAUACAUGCCAGCUCUUGGGAUUAUUACUUUAUUGGUUUGCAUUUAAUUUUUGUUGGGGGAAGAGUUUUGAGCUUUUGCCAAAUUCUCCAAUGGGUCUAUGAUCCAGGAAGGUCAAGAACCACUGGUUUGGAGAGUAAAAGGAGCCCCCAGUGGGUCUGCUGGCUGUGAUGAGUACACUGCCAUGAGUGCUCACAUAGCGGCUUUGUGGCGUCCACUGGGGGGUACCGCGUAAGUGUUCCUCUGUGGGUCAGGGUGUGAUCUUGCCCGUGAUGAAUUCCCCCUCCCAAGCCCCUGGGUCCCUGUGACCUCCAGGGCUCUCCAAAUACCUCAUUAGCACUGGCUGAGAGCACAGCUAGGAAGUGGGGCUGCUGUUGCCUCUGCAGAGAACAUCCCUCAUUACAGCAGAGAGAAGCAGCAGCUCUGACAGGGGCUGGGCAGGGGCAGGGCCCCUUUGUGUCUAGGCCUGAUGACUCAGGGAACAUUGCACUUCUGAGGACAUCAUUGUCAGCACAAAGCUGCGGCUCUGAUGACAGAGCCCAGGCUCCUCUGGACUGGCACUGUCCUGCCUCCCCCAGCCCCCUUGAUUGCUCAGCCCCCUUUCCUAUGACUGCACCAGCGUUAAAGCUGCAUCCGUAAUAAACUGUCCUUUUACUCACUGGUCCUCCCAGUGGCCAAGAGAGGGUAGACUGUGAUCCCUGUCAGAACCCUGAGGCCCCAAUAGACUGGGCAGAGCCAGGUUUGGGAUUCAGGUCCCCCUGCUCCAAGCUCUUGCGGAGUGGCGGGCAGAAGUGCACACUUAGUAUCAGGCAAACCAGGGUGGGUCCUGGCCGUGCCACUCUCAAGUACCUGAAGU
rnacentral:lncRNA from 1 species